UUGAUUUUUAAAGAUGUGCUGGCACUCCUUUACCGGUCUGCAUGUGCACUCUGCAAAAUCUCCUUCUCUUACCCCACUGUGCACACUCAAGUAGACAAACAGAGUUACAGAGUAAUCUGUGUAAUUCCUGAUUUGUCUAUGUUUUUAUUAAACACCAAUAACAAUCUUAGAAUGAUCUAUAGUAAGCUCUUAACAAGCUGAAAUUUAAUA
rnacentral:misc_RNA from 1 species